GAUACAAACACAUACAUACACCCACACACACAGACGCAUAGAGAUACACACACAUACACAGAGAUACACACCCACUGUACUGUGUUCUAUUCCAAAGCUAUAAGAACCACAAGUUAGUACAGUGCUGUUUAAUCACACAUCUGACCGGUCAGAAGUUUCUAGAACAGCAGUUCUAAGAGCAGGGUCAUCUCUAAUACACAUUCAUAUCAACACACACCUACUAAUACUGUUGUUUGUGUAAUUCACACCCAGUGACCACAGCGAGGUGUUUAUUUAACAGUUACAGAAGGAGUCUCCAGGGUUAGAGCUUCAUAACAGUCAGAAAGUUCCACCAUCCAGGAUACAGCAGGUGCUCACGAUCUCCAGACGAUAAGAUGGACGCAAUUCUGUUGCACAACUCGGGAAAUUUACUCAGAGUGGAUUCCUUACAUGAUAAACGUCUGUGUGAAACCUCUGGUGACGUCGGUUAGCAACAAUGUAAAGGACAAAGUCAGACAGCAGUGAAUGUUGCCGUCUCUUCGGUUUCUGACUGAACAGCCAGCGUGAAAGCAGCAUGCACGAUGCCACAGGGUGAAGUUUCCCUGCCUUCUGCUUAUACCCGCGUUAUCUGCUUUCUGCAUCACAACCGAAACAACAGCACUGCCUUUACACAGCUCAUCACUUCCAAGGCCGGGACAGAUAAACUGUUGAAUCACAAAUCAUCACGAGUAUUACGUUCCAGGCUGCUGAUUCAUAUAUAUAUGUAUAGAGAGAGAGAAUAAAACGAGUCAUGACUGCAGCUCAGAGUUGUAAAAAAUAAAAAUGAUUUGAUCCUAUUUAGUGAAACACAUUUGGGCGCCUCAUAAAAACCUCAAUCUUCCUCCCCAGCCUUCUUCUCAUCCUCGCCCUCGUUGUGGGCAC